CAGCUUUCUGUGUACUGUCUGUUAUCUUUAUUUCUCCAUCCUCUCACCAUCCUUCUUCCUUCACCCCUGAACUUCAAGAGCUAUGCAGGACAUGGCGCACCUGGACAUCAUGGGUGAGACAACUCAAUUACUUGUACGAUUAUUUUUCAAUAGGCGGAAAUUAGAAUCGCCAUUCAAUAUCUACCUGAGACACCCAGGAUGUGAGCGAGCACAAUGGAAGUGGCAGAAUAUUAAUGAUACCAAAAGGAAGAGAGCUGUCUCUACAUGGAACAGUUAAAAUAUACAGGAGCCAGGCGUGGCAGUGCACACCUAUAAUCCCAGCACUCGGGAGGCUGAGGCAGGAGGAUCCCCAUGAGUUCAAGGCCAGUUUGGGCUACAAAGUGAGUCAAGGUCAGCCUGAACUGCACAGUGAAAUUCUGCCUCAAAAAAAACCAAAAAUGAAUAAAUAAAGUAAAAUGUGUAUGUCUUCC